rnacentral:rRNA from 1 species
CCAGACUCCUACGGGAGGCAGCAGUCGGGAAUAUUGCGCAAUGGAGGAAACUCUGACGCAGUGACGCCGCGUAUAGGACGAAGGUCUUCGGAUUGUAAACUAUUGUCGUUAGGGAAGAGAAAGGACAGUACCUAAGGAGGAAGCUCCGGCUAACUACGUGCCAGCAGCCGCGGUAAUACGUAGGGAGCAAGCGUUAUCCGGAUUUAUUGGGUGUAAAGGGUGCGUAGACGGGAAAUUAAGUUAGUUGUGAAAUCCCUCGGCUCAACUGAGGAACUGCAACUAAAACUGGUUUUCUUGAGUGUUGGAGAGGAAAGCGGAAUUCCUAGUGUAGCGGUGAAAUGCGUAGAUAUUAGGAGGAACACCAGUGGCGAAGGCGGCUUUCUGGACAAUAACUGACGUUGAGGCACGAAAGUGUGGGGAGCAAACAGGAUUAGAUACCCUUGUA